rnacentral:rRNA from 1 species
CUGGCUCAGGACGAACGGCUGGCGGCGUGCCUAAUACAUGCAAGUCGAACGGCUUUUCUAUGGAAGCUUGCUUCCACUGAGAAGAUAGUGGCGAACGGGUGAGUAACACGUGGGUAACCUGCCCAUAAGAGGGGGGAUAACAUCCGGAAACGGGUGCUAAUACCGCAUAGUUUCUUGAUUGCAUGAUGAGAAAGGAAAGACGGCCUUUGUGCUGUCGCUUAUGGAUGGACCCGCGGCGUAUUAGUUAGUUGGUGAGGUAACGGCUCACCAAGACGAUGAUACGUAGCCGACCUGAGAGGGUGAUCGGCCACAUUGGGACUGAGACACGGCCCAAACUCCUACGGGAGGCAGCAGUAGGGAAUCUUCCGCAAUGGACGAAAGUCUGACGGAGCAACGCCGCGUGAGUGAAGAAAAGGUUUUCGGAUCGUAAAACUCUGUUGUCAGAGAAGAACAAGUUGGAGAGUAACUGCUCCAGCCUUGACGGUAUCUGACCAGAAAGCCACGGCUAACUACGUGCCAGCAGCCGC